AUUGAACGCUGGCGGCAGGCCUAACACAUGCAAGUCGAGCGGCAGCGACUUAACUGAACCUUCGGGGAACGUUAAGGGCGGCGAGCGGCGGACGGGUGAGUAAUGCCUGGGAAUAUGCCCUGAUGUGGGGGAUAACUAUUGGAAACGAUAGCUAAUACCGCAUAAUCUCUUCGGAGCAAAGAGGGGGACCUUCGGGCCUCUCGCGUCAGGAUUAGCCCAGGUGGGAUUAGCUUGUUGGUGAGGUAAUGGCUCACCAAGGCGACGAUCCCUAGCUGGUCUGAGAGGAUGAUCAGCCACACUGGAACUGAGACACGGUCCAGACUCCUACGGGAGGCAGCAGUGGGGAAUAUUGCACAAUGGGGGAAACCCUGAUGCAGCCAUGCCGCGUGUGUGAAGAAGGCCUUCGGGUUGUAAAGCACUUUCAGUAGGGAGGAAGGUAGUGUAGUUAACACCUGCAUUAUUUGACGCUACCUACAGAAGAAGCACCGGCUAACUCCGUGCCAGCAGCCGCGGUAAUACGGAGGGUGCGAGCGUUAAUCGGAAUUACUGGGCGUAAAGCGCAUGCAGGCGGCCUGUUAAGUCAGAUGUGAAAGCCCGGGGCUUAACCUCGGAAUUGCAUUUGAAACUGGCAGGCUAGAGUCUUGUAGAGGGGGGUAGAAUUUCAGGUGUAGCGGUGAAAUGCGUAGAGAUCUGAAGGAAUACCAGUGGCGAAGGCGGCCCCCUGGACAAAGACUGACGCUCAGAUGCGAAAGCGUGGGGAGCAAACAGG
rnacentral:rRNA from 1 species